AGUCGAGCGGAUGAGAGGAGCUUGCUCCUGGAUUCAGCGGCGGANCGGGUGAGUAAUGCCUAGGAAUCUGCCUGGUAGUGGGGGACAACGUUUCGAAAGGAACGCUAAUACCGCAUACGUCCUACGGGAGAAAGCAGGGGACCUUCGGGCCUUGCGCUAUCAGAUGAGCCUAGGUCGGAUUAGCUAGUUGGUGAGGUAAUGGCUCACCAAGGCGACGAUCCGUAACUGGUCUGAGAGGAUGAUCAGUCACACUGGAACUGAGACACGGUCCAGACUCCUACGGGAGGCAGCAGUGGGGAAUAUUGGACAAUGGGCGAAAGCCUGAUCCAGCCAUGCCGCGUGUGUGAAGAAGGUCUUCGGAUUGUAAAGCACUUUAAGUUGGGAGGAAGGGCAGUAACUUAAUACGUUGCUGUUUUGACGUUACCGACAGAAUAAGCACCGGCUAACUCUGUGCCAGCAGCCGCGGUAAUACAGAGGGUGCAAGCGUUAAUCGGAAUUACUGGGCGUAAAGCGCGCGUAGGUGGUUCGUUAAGUUGGAUGUGAAAUCCCCGGGCUCAACCUGGGAACUGCAUUCAAAACUGUCGAGCUAGAGUAUGGUAGAGGGUGGUGGAAUUUCCUGUGUAGCGGUGAAAUGCGUAGAUAUAGGAAGGAACACCAGUGGCGAAGGNGACCNCCUGGACUGAUACUGACACUGNNNUGCGAAAGCGUGGGGNGCAAACNGNAUUAGAUACCC
rnacentral:rRNA from 1 species